rnacentral:rRNA from 2 species
CUAUACAUGCAGUCGAGCGAAUGGAUUAAGAGCUUGCUCUUAUGAAGUUAGCGGCGGACGGGUGAGUAACACGUGGGUAACCUGCCCAUAAGACUGGGAUAACUCCGGAAAACCGGGGCUAAUACCGGAUAACAUUUUGAACCGCAUGGUUCGAAAUUGAAAGGCGGCUUCGGCUGUCACUUAUGGAUGGACCCGCGUCGCAUUAGCUAGUUGGUGAGGUAACGGCUCACCAAGGCAACGAUGCGUAGCCGACCUGAGAGGGUGAUCGGCCACACUGGGACUGAGACACGGCCCAGACUCCUACGGGAGGCAGCAGUAGGGAAUCUUCCGCAAUGGACGAAAGUCUGACGGAGCAACGCCGCGUGAGUGAUGAAGGCUUUCGGGUCGUAAAACUCUGUUGUUAGGGAAGAACAAGUGCUAGUUGAAUAAGCUGGGACCUUGACGGUACCUAACCAGAAAGCCACGGCUAAGUACGUGCCAGCACCNNCGUUAAUACGUAGGUGGUAACCAUAAUCCGUAAUUAUUGAUCGCCAAUCUCGCGCUUUUGGUUC